UUCGCAAUGCCCGAAAGGGUGACGAAGCGACGCCGCGUGAGCGAAGAAGGCCCUAGGGUUGUAAAGCUCUGUUGGGGGUUAUGAAAUGCAGGUUGGUUAAUACCCAACCUGUUUGACAAAGGCCCCAAAGGGAGCCACGGCUAACUCUGUGCCAGCAGCCGCGGUAAUACAGAGGUGGCAAGCGUUGUUCGGUAUUAUUGGGCGUAAAGAGCACGUAGGUGGAUUUGUAAGUCAGACGUGAAAGCCUUCUGUUCAACGGAAGAAUUGCAUCUGAAACUACAAACCUUGAGUGUAGGAGGGGAGAAUGGAACUUCUGGUGGAGCGGUGAAAUGCGUAGAUAUCAGGAGGAACGCCGGAGGCGAAAGCGACUCUCUGGUCUGCAACUGACGCUGAGUGUGCGAAAGCUAGGGGGGCGAACGGGAUUAGAUACCCCGGUAGUCCUAGCCCUAAACGAUGGGCACUAAGUAGAGGGGUUUU
rnacentral:rRNA from 1 species